CAUAAAGUUGUCUGUCUGCCAGCCAACCCUGGUGAAGCUGACACAGGAUUCAUUUUGUUCCCCAUGUUGCAUGAAAUAGAACGUAACUGAAUUGUACAUGAUGUGGGUCAGGGCGGUUUGGACAGAGCCAAAUGGAGAAGAUGAGGGAGUCAUCCCAGAGGUUUGGGUGAAGGACAACAUGGUACACUGGCCACCAGGGGCUAAUGUAACUAAAGCAGCUAAAGAGAUGCGAACACCAACAAGUAGCUGGAAAAUGUUUCCACUGCUGAAAAUCAAAUUCAAGUCAAAUAAUCAGGAAGUGUGUGAAGUCUUCGACCAAACAAGUACUGCAGAGCUCAGUGAGGAAGAAUGUGGUCCUGUAUCAAAGACAAAAAUAUACCCAGGGUUUAUUUUAGGUACAGAAUACUUGCUCAUUUUGACAGGGCCCUAGUUUCUGGUGCUGGAGCAUAAUAUAUGUUGUGAUACUAUGUAUGGUAAUUAUACUGUUGUUUCUCCUCUUACACAGAUGAGGAUGAGCAUGAAAGCAGGACGAAGCGAAUCGUUGGAUUUUUGGAAUAAAAAUAUUCAUAUUUCAAAAGUUACA
ensembl:lncRNA